UGAGCUUCUUACUGGCCAGUCUUCUAUACAAAACCAUGAUCUACCCUCAUAUUCUCCAAUCUUCUCUUUCUCUCAUCUUUUUUUUACUUCCUGCAUUUUAACAGGCAGCGCCCAACCCAGCCACUCUCCCUUUGUGAUAUUUUCCUAAGCCAAGUAUUUCACCCUCCCUCUAUUGCCUCCAACCCAGGGAGGCCACACCUUGAGGGCUAGCCUUCCAUAACCAGAUUGGCCAUCAGAAUUUUCACCAAAUAAAAGACUGUUCUUUCUCUCAGGUAGCCUGCAAACAAGCCACUGACAGCUCAUGUGUUUGUAGAGAUGGGAUGGGAGUGGGGGUAGGAGAGGAGAACAUGGGAAGAGGGUGUGACAAGAGGUGUCCCUUGUGACGGGGACAAAAUAAACACAGUAAAAGAGAAUAACCUGGACAAUUUUCUGCUUCCCCAAAUAUCCACCUCACAGCCUCUAAUUCUGUGCUUUGUUCUUUGGGACUCUGAAAGCUUUUUGGUCUUCAAUAAUUCUCUAUUAAAAUGCAAAUACCUACUGGGAGUUGUUAAGCCUUAUCAGUUAAUAGUUGACUGUUGCAUGAACAUUGGAUCCUGCUCUAAUGGGGCCAGAAUGGCAGAGGGAUGGGGUGGAACUGCGGAAGGGCAAAUGGAUUCAGGAAGAAGGAGAAUACUGAAGGGGUCAUUUUGGGGUCUUUCUUAUAUUUUGACCAGCAUGAACUCUGCUUACCAUUAUCCAUAGCCCUCUCCUCUGCCUUCUCAAGAGGAGCAGUGUUAAAACGGUUGGUUUGUUGCCCUUUGCCCUGAGCAUAAGUUGAAUUAAGGAGGAACGCUGGAGCGUCUUUACUUUGUCAUGCCUAAAUUAGAAACAGUAAAAGUAACCCAAGGAAACAGCUACAACAGAAGGGCCCCUCCAGUCUAAAAUUAGCUCCGUUUGAUGCUUCAGUCUCGUGGUACACACGUGGCCUUGGUGGCUCAGCGGGUGGCAGCAAAGCCUGGACGUGGCCGGAUGAUGGGUGCGCUUCCUCAGUGGUAGGCUGAAUUUCUACUAGCGGACUUGCCAAUGUGCGCCCAUUAGGAAGGACAAAAGAGAGAGCGGACGCAUACUUCCCAGCUCCCAGAAAAACCAUAGGAACUCAUCGCGACCUCCAAAGGGAAUGAAGGUGUCCACCACCUGAGUCCCCAGCAGCCUUCCCGCCAAAGCACCUUUUCCAUCACCUGUCCGCUCUCUACCGUGCCCGCCGCGCACGUCUUCUCUCCCCGGCUGGAUGGCGAGCGUCUUCGGCGGGAGCCAAGGCUGCUUCAACCCCGAGCGCAAGUUCCAAAUGCUUUCGGAACAAAUGCACCCGGAAAGAAGGUGACAAUGCCGGGUCGUUCCCAAUAGAAUUGGAAAAUAAGUGAAGUCUAUCGCCUUCCCAUCCUUUUCCUCCAGGAUUCUGUUUUCCCUUUAAGGUGUGACAUUCGAAAUAUGGAACAACCAGCGAUGCACCAGCGCUAACCAAUCCGAAUAGAGGCGGGCCUGCUCAGAAGCGGGGUCCUGGGGCCGCCUGCUGUGCGGCGACAUUAGCGCUUUAGUUCCUGCAGCGUCAGUUCCAAGGGAGAGACUCCAUUGAGAAAGAUCAUUAAUGAAGAUGUUAAAUGAGACCAGAAUGAAGCCGCGUCCCCGUGGCAUCCCGCUAGACACCUUCCAACAACUUGACACUCUGCCAUUUGCUGUUUCAUUACCCUUUGUUUACCUCGUGAGCGCAGGCCCUUGCUUUAGAAAGAGGCAGAAAGCUUGAUAUUUCUGCUGCUGCCGGGAUGCCACUUUAGGGUGGGGAUAUUAAAACCUGGCAGAUUGUAAAUACAUCCUUUUGAGUUUGAAUUAAAUGUGGAUUAUGAAUAGAGCAUUGUCAGUAAAUACUUGGUUGCUCUCCCUCCUCUCAGAUGCCUUUGUUUUUCUCUGGACUUUCUGCAGCUGUUUUGUCUUUCCUGGAGCAGAGAAGGCCAGAUGUUUGCUGCAUGCAAAGAUCUUGCUUGGAUCAGCUUAACUAUGAACUGUAAGGUUUCUCUGUUACAUGUGAAAGCUGUGGUAGACGGAUUGCAUUCAUAGUCCCAGGGUUUCUCCCCUCCCUGACUCCAUGUCCUCACCAUGUAACCUUGCAGUGCCCUCCCACCCUGACUCUGGCCCAGCCGUGUGACUUUCUUUGACAGAAGAGAUUUUAGCAGACAAAUGCAGGCAUAGGCUUGAAAAAAUGCACUUGCCUGUCUCUCCUUGUGUUCUCGCACCCUCCACAAUUGCCAUGAAAACACACCUGGGAGAGCCUGUUGGAAGAUAAGACACACGAAGCAGAGCGAAGUUGCCCCAGCUGUCCAGUCAGGACCAGCCUAGAUCUUCUGACAACCGGAUGACCUCCAGAUGUGUGAAUGAGCCCAGCCCAGCCCAGCAGAGCCUGCUAGCCAACCACCAGAUGCAUGAACAAUGAGCAUAUUGCUUGUGAGGGCUUGUUGUUGCUUGUUACACAGCAUUAGCUGUGGAAAUAGAUAGCUGAUACAAUAGCACACAUUUAGAAUCUCAUGGACUGGAAACUCACUGAUCUCUCGAAGGUUUUGCACAUCAUGCAUCCCUUACAU
rnacentral:lncRNA from 1 species